rnacentral:rRNA from 1 species
UAUUUGACGUUAGCUGCAGAAGAAGCACCGGCUAACUCCGUGCCAGCAGCCGCGGUAAUACGGGAGGGUGCGAGCGUUAAUCGGAAUUACGUGGGACGUAAAGCGCAUGCAGGUGGUUUAGUUAAGUCAGAUGUAGAAACGGCCCGGGGCUACAACCGUACGGUAAUUGCUAUUUAGAAACGUGGACAAACUAGAGUACUGUAGAGGGGGUAGAAUUUCAGGUGUAGCGGUGAAAUGCGUAGAGAUCUGAAGGAAUACCGGUGGCGAAGGCGGCCCCCUGGACAGAUACUGACACUCAGAUGCGAAAGCGUGGGGAGCAAACAGGAUUAGAUACCCUGGUAG